CGAGCCCUGACCAUCGAGGAGCACGUGUUAUUCUAGACCUCUCUUCCAGCUAAGAUAGCAUGUGCCGUCCUCUUUGUUUCCCAAGUCAGUAUUC
rnacentral:pre_miRNA from 1 species